GACGAACGCUGGCGGCGUGCCUAACACAUGCAAGUCGAGCGGGGAACAUUGAAAGCUUGCUUUUGGUGUUUCUAGCGGCGGACGGGUGAGUAACGCGUGAGCAAUCUGUCUCAGACAGGGGGAUAACGCAGCGAAAGUUGCACUAAUACCGCAUAAGACCACAGAGCCACAUGGCAUAGGGGUCAAAGGAGCAAUCCGGUCUGAGGUGAGCUCGCGUCCCAUUAGGUAGUUGGUGAGGUAACGGCCCACCAAGCCUGCGAUGGGUAGCCGACCUGAGAGGGUGAUCGGCCACACUGGAACUGAGACACGGUCCAGACUCCUACGGGAGGCAGCAGUGGGGAAUAUUGGGCAAUGGGGGAAACCCUGACCCAGCAACGCCGCGUGAGGGAAGAAGGUUUUCGGAUUGUAAACCUCUGUCCU
rnacentral:rRNA from 1 species